UUUUUGUAUGGUAAUGCAAAAGUAUUGAAACAGAGAUAAUUAUGAUAGGAUUACUACAGCACUUUUUGUUGUACACUAUCACAGGAAUAUCCUAUAGUACUUUACCUUUUGGGCUCAUUUAUAAAAUGCUUAUAACAUGUGUACACCUCUCUUCCAGCUGUAAAAUCUGUAAAUUGCAAGUGAUUAUGAAAAUGUAUGCAGCUAAAUGGUUUCAUAUUACCACCUUAAAACGACAUAAUAUCAUUAAAAUAUAGCAGUCAACGUCAAAAUCAUUUACUUUAGAACAGGAACAGCAAGCGGCAAGAAUGGUUUAAAUUUCCAAAAAGCUGCUGCACUCAAUAAUCAAAAGUGCAUACAUCUGUUUUCAUGUUAAAGACCAUUUUUAUAAAUAUUAAUGUUGCUGUGGACUUUAGUGUACACACAUUGUAAGAUCAAAUGUGUGCAUGUACACACUUUAUAUAUAUUUUCAGAGAGAAAAACACGGCGGAUAUUGCAUUUUGCGUAAGAUUAAAAACGGCCUUUUCAAUACCGACCAGAUACAAUACUGAUUUUGGCAGAAACUCAAUUUUGUAAAAAAAAAAAAUAAUAAUAAAUAAAUAAAAAAUAAAAAAAAGGUCGUUUAUCGCAUUUUGGAAGCAAAGUCUUCAUAUAUUACUCGAUGACAUUUCAAAGCAGCAGGUGGCGGUAACGAGCUUCACGCGCUGGUUUACCAAACAUGCGCCAAAACUAACGCCAUUGGAGAAGCCCCCCGCGUGGUGAAGGCGCCGGCGGGAAUCGACUCUUCUUGAGGAAAACGCUGACUGAAUCUGCAGCAGGUUGGAUCUGUGCUCUUAACGUUUGGACGACAAUCAUCAGUAGUGUCAAAUUCAAUUGCCGGGCGACGUCAGUGGAGAACAAUUUGGAGCAAAUCCUCCAUACAGUUUUCUUCAUGUUCGGCCCGCCACUGAUGGAUAAUCUGUUCACCUUCAACAACCUAUCUAGAUCCUCUGUAGAUGCUAUAGGAAAGACACUGCCUUCUUCCUCUUCAUCCAUCUGCAUUUGGGGUACAACACGCCUGUUUCCCACUAGAGACUGGACCAAUGAACUAAGAUGAUUUAUCUUCAUGUCCAUUUUCUCUAGUGUUUCCAGAAUGAUCCUUUCUACAGCUGUAAUACAGAAGAUAAUUUAAUUUGAACUCGAGACUGGAUUUUCCUGUCUCACACCAGAAGUACCUUUGGAUGAGCACUCCAGCCUUCUCCAUGAUGGUCUGCCUGAGAGAUGCCCACUGGAGCUGAGAAAGGUGAAGUGGGUGGAUGAGCACUCCAGCCGUCUCCGUGAUGGUCUACCUGAGAGAUGCCCACUGGUGCUGAAAAAGGUGGAGUGGUUAGGUGGAUAUACACCCCAGCUGUGAUGGUCUGCCUGAGAGAUGCCUACUUGAGCUGAGAAAGAUAAAGUGGUUGGAUGAGCACUCCAGCCGUCUCCGUGAUUGUCUACCUGGGAGAUGCCCACUGGAGCUGAGAAAGGUAGAGGAGCACUCCAGCCGUCUCUGUGAUGGUCCACCUGAGAGAUGCCCACUGGAGCUGAAAAAGGUGGAGUGGGUUGAUCAACACACCAGCCGUGUUCAUGAUGGUUUGGCUGAGACAUGCGUUCAGGAGCUAAGAAAGAUGGGUUAGUAAGUAGUAGGU